rnacentral:tRNA from 1 species
ACCUGGCUGGCUCUGUCAGUUGAGCAUGGGACUCUUGAUCUCAGGGUUAGGAGUUCAAGCCUCAUGCUGGGUG